GACAGAGGGGCAAGCGUUGCUCGGAAUCACUGGGCGUAAAGCGCACGUAGGCGGCGUCUUAAGUCAGUGGUGAAAUCCUGGAGCUCAACUCCAGAACUGCCUCUGAUACUGAGAUGCUUGAGUCCGGGAGAGGUGAGUGGAACUGCGAGUGUAGAGGUGAAAUUCGUAGAUAUUCGCAAGAACACCAGUGGCGAAGGCGGCUCACUGGCCCGGUACUGACGCUGAGGUGCGAAAGCGUGGGGAGCAACAGG
rnacentral:rRNA from 1 species